GAUGAAGAACGUAGCGAAAUGCGAUAAGUAAUGUGAAUUGCAGAAUUCAGUGAAUCAUCGAAUCUUUGAACGCACAUUGCGCCCCUUGGUAUUCCGAGGGGCAUGCCUGUUCGAGCGUCAUAUUAACCACUCCCGCUUGCGGGGUCUUGGGCUUCGCCUCCGGGCGGGCCUUAAAAUCAGUGGCGGUGCCGUCGGGCUCUACGCGUAGUAAAUUUUCUCGCGAUAGGGUCCCGGUGGAUGCUUGCCAACAACCCCCAACUUCUUAAGGUUGACCUCGGAUCAGGUAGGGAUACCCGCUGAACUUAAGCAUACAAUAAGCGGAGGA
rnacentral:misc_RNA from 1 species